rnacentral:lncRNA from 1 species
AGCAGUAUAUGGUGGCAACCCAUCAGAACUGAAGACGAACCUCUCGGUGCAGCUACCUGUGUGAUUGAGUUCCUCUAUCAUGAGUCCCGACUGAAUUAGGGUUAAGGUGAACUCGUCAAACCCAACAUCAGUCAAAUAAAUUAAUCGAUCGAUCCGAGUCCAAUGUGAAACCCUAAUGAAAUUUUUUUUUUCCAUUAUUUCACUCUGCCAUUGCCAUGGGCUUAAGGACUCGAUCUUUCGAUCAUCAUAGGACUACUCCUCUCAUCUACCGAGAUUGAUAGAUCCUAUCUUGGUGCGACCUAGUUCCUACAAUGAAUAUGCUACAGUCAACAUAUAUCUCAGGGUUUUGAAUGGCUAGG